CUAUUAAGGACUUCGUGCCGUGCUCCCUGGACAACCCCAUUCCGUCCUACGUAGUCGGAAUGUUCAACGACUUGAGCUGCUACCCUCAUCCGGGCUACGUAUAUUAUAACCAAGGAUCAUUCAGUGACUCCUAUUUUAUGGUGGCAACAGACAGAGGAUUGGUUUCAAAUAAGGAAGAUAAGUACUUCCUCGUCGGCGGUGAUGUUUCUUUCCGUCCACAUAGGGAGGUUCCGGAAAACUUAAGGUUCAGAGUUGGAUAUACCAAACAAAAUAAACCUAUUUACAUCGGCACUAUUAACAUCGGAACAGAAGAAAUUUGCGGAUCGGUAAUAGAUGGAGUCUGCUAUGCAUUCAAAGUAUCAAUCCGUUCUGAUGGCGAAAACUACAAGGUCUUGGCUUUGAAUGAAAGAUGAAC